rnacentral:lncRNA from 1 species
GUCUUCUGGUUCCCCAGAAAUUCCAGAAUAAAAACAGGUACUAAGCCAACUCUACAACGGGGGGAAUAUGCCCUGUUUUUUAUUAAUUUUUUUCUGAUUAUUAUUCAACACGGGUCUUUAGUGAUCCUAAGUGAAUACGCUUUCAUUUGAUACCAAAAUGAACUACUAGUAAAUAUUAUACUAAUUGACAAAGAUUUAUAAAUAUGCAUAGUAACUAUUUUGUUUGAUAUACUACUUUGAUCGGGGCGAUAUCGUAAUUUAUU